rnacentral:tRNA from 1 species
UACGCUGUGGCCGAGCAGUGAGGCACGCGAUUGCAACCCGCGCCACGAGGGUGCAAAUCCCUCCAGCGUAU